UGUGGAACGCAAGAAAUAGAGAAAAUCUGAAGCAAGCCAAUCAUAGAAAACCGCCACGUAUGCUUUUCCCAAACCACAUCCACUCGCUCUUAAAAUCUUCACUCAGCUGCCUGGCAACUUGAUUGUGUUGUGUCUUGUUCCUUGAUUUCAUUCUUUAAAGCGACACCCUUCUUCUAUUUAUUAAGCUUGCCCUCUUGUUUCUUUUCUCUGUCUUCUGAUUUCACUUCAUUCCAGAUGGCGGCUUCAUCAGCUUGCCUCAUUGCGAAUGUUCUAUCUACACACAAGAUUAAAGCGAAUUUGAGCAAGGACUUCUAUGGUAAGCGUCUUAUGGUUUCAUCAAGCUUUUCUUCCUUGGAAAAGAAGUCCAAAGCAGCCCUCAUAAAGGCCUCUUUGGGCCAGAAACAGUCGGAGGGAAGAAGAGGUUUUCUCAAGUUGUUGCUUGGAAAUGUGGGACUCGGUGCCUCUGCUUUACUGGGGAGUGGAAAUGCAUAUGCUGAUGAUCAAGGGGUCUCUUCCUCCCGGAUGUCUUAUUCUAGGUUCUUAGAGUACGUUGACAAGGACAGGGUUAAAAAAGUGGAUUUGUUUGAAAAUGGAACUAUAGCUAUUGUGGAGGCCAUUUCACCUGAGUUGGGUAACCGGGUGCAGCGAGUUCGUGUUCAGUUGCCAGGGCUCAGCCAGGAGCUUCUCCAGAAAUUCAGUGAGAAGAACAUUGACUUUGCGGCACAUAAUGCUCAAGAAGACUCAGGAUCUCUGCUAUUCAACUUAAUUGGGAAUCUUGCUUUCCCACUAAUCCUAAUUGGAGGGUUGUUCCUUCUCUCAAGGCGUUCUUCUGGUGGAAUGGGUGGUCCUGGUGGGCCUGGUUUCCCUCUGGCCUUUGGUCAAUCCAAAGCCAAAUUUCAAAUGGAACCAAAUACUGGUGUAACAUUUGAUGAUGUUGCUGGAGUUGAUGAAGCAAAACAAGAUUUCAUGGAGGUGGUGGAGUUUCUCAAGAAGCCUGAGAGAUUCACUGCUGUUGGAGCUCGCAUUCCAAAAGGUGUUCUUCUUGUUGGUCCUCCUGGAACUGGGAAGACUCUUCUAGCGAAGGCUAUUGCUGGUGAAGCUGGGGUUCCAUUUUUCUCUAUCUCUGGCUCUGAGUUUGUUGAGAUGUUUGUUGGUGUUGGUGCAUCUCGAGUCCGAGAUCUUUUCAAGAAGGCCAAGGAGAAUGCUCCAUGCAUUGUAUUUGUGGAUGAAAUUGAUGCCGUUGGACGACAAAGAGGAACUGGAAUUGGAGGAGGGAAUGAUGAAAGAGAACAGACCCUUAACCAGCUUUUGACAGAAAUGGAUGGUUUUGAGGGUAACACUGGUAUCAUUGUAAUUGCAGCUACUAAUAGGGCUGACAUUCUUGAUUCCGCCUUAUUGAGGCCAGGGCGGUUUGACAGACAGGUUACUGUUGAUGUUCCUGAUAUACGAGGACGAACAGAGAUAUUGAAGGUUCAUGCUAGCAAUAAGAAGUUUGAUGCUGAUGUCUCUCUUGAUGUGAUAGCCAUGAGAACACCUGGUUUUAGUGGUGCAGAUUUAGCAAACCUCUUAAAUGAGGCAGCCAUAUUGGCUGGUAGACGUGGGAAGACUGCUAUUUCAUCUAAAGAGAUUGAUGAUUCAAUUGAUAGGAUUGUUGCUGGAAUGGAAGGAACAGUAAUGACUGAUGGGAAAAGCAAAAGUCUGGUUGCUUACCAUGAGGUUGGCCAUGCAAUAUGUGGAACUUUGACUCCAGGGCAUGAUCCUGUUCAAAAAGUCACCCUUGUUCCUCGUGGUCAGGCAAGAGGUCUUACCUGGUUCAUUCCUUCUGAUGACCCUACUCUGAUUUCCAAGCAGCAGCUAUUUGCAAGAAUUGUUGGUGGGCUUGGUGGUAGAGCUGCUGAGGAAGUGAUUUUUGGUGAGCCAGAGGUGACAACAGGUGCAGCUGGUGACCUGCAGCAGAUCACCAGUUUGGCCAAACAGAUGGUAACCACAUUUGGGAUGUCUGAAAUUGGGCCAUGGUCACUAAUGGAUACCUCAGCACAAAGUGCUGAUGUCAUCAUGAGAAUGAUGGCAAGGAAUUCAAUGUCAGAAAGGCUUGCUGAGGACAUUGACGCUGCCGUCAAGAGAUUAUCUGAUAGUGCUUAUGAGAUUGCAUUGAACCACAUAAGGAACAACCGUGAGGCCAUUGACAAGAUUGUGGAAGUUCUCCUUGAGAAGGAAACAAUGACAGGGGAUGAAUUUCGCGCCAUUCUCUCAGAAUUUGUUGAAAUCCCAGUUGAAAAUCGAGUCCCAGCUGUAGCUCCCACACCAGUCACUGUUUAACUAGCAAUAAUCACAUUUCAAACGCCAUCGACCCUUUAAGCACACUGGAAACUGGUUAAAUGUAUACUUCUAUAAUCUUGAUCAAAUUCUCUGCUUUUAGAUGAUGUAACUCAACGUUCCAUCGCCAUUCAGAAUGUUGGGAAGUGUUUGUAGUGGAGGGACCACGCUGAUCAUUCAAAUAAAAUCGCCUUGCUCUUCCACAAAA